CAUGAACUUCCCCUACUUCUACGUCGUGGCCUCCGUGAUGCUCAACGUCCGCCUGCAGGUGCGGAUCGAGUGAGCACCCGCGGCCACCUCCAGGCCGCGACGACAGGGCUGCAGGCAUGAAGAACGGCGGGGUCCGGGGCCGGCGGGACGCGGCCGGGAAGGAGGAGGGGCGGCCCGGGCCCCAGAGCCCGAGACCUCCGCGGAGGACAGGGCCACUGAGCCCCCGAGCCCCCGAGCGCCAGCUCCGGUCACCCACAUCACGGCCGGGGACAGACUGCACAGAAACUGGCAAGAACGGGACCGUUCCGUCGAGCUCCAGAAAAUUAUUUGAGUGCAGCCGACCUGUUGCCUCACCUUGGCCGAAGGCGGGGAGCAGGAGGAAGAAAUUCUGCAGCAGGAACGUGAAUGACUGGCCCUGACGGAAAAGGGCGGCCCCCAUGCCGAGGAUCACACAGGAGAGUCUCCUCUGGAUGGGCUUGGAUUGGUCCUGGCUGCGUGGCUGACUGCAGACUAGCAGCAGGGCAGAGGGGAGCCAGGAGAGACCCUCACUCAUGCCUACCCAGUCCCACAACUGCUCUGGCAACUGCUUGCUCCUGGUCCACGUACCUAGUGUUCCUGGGACUGAGAAUCACGGCAGCCUGGUGGGCCCUGGGGACAGAGUGGCCGAGCCUCCCACCAUCUGCCCUCCUUAGCUGCCCAGCUGGAGCACAGGUCCUGGGUGAAGAUCUCUGCCUGCCCCUCCCUGGGGCCUGAGGCUGGUUGGAGACCACCACGUGCCCCCUGCGGAUUCCACAGAUGGGGCCUGAUGGCUUCCUUCCUUGUGCCAAGUUGCCUGGGAGCCCCUGAUCCUGGUGUCCCCUCCUCCACCCCAACCCUGUCCCCCCUAGGACCACUUCUGGGAGCUCACUAGCCAGCUGACUCCAUCCAUGGAUCUCCAGGGACAGCCUCUGAGAGACUGACAUGGGGCUACGUGGGAGGAGAGUGGCAGGGGAUGAGAAACCUUGGGAAUGAUACACAGAUGUGCCCCUUUCAAGCCCAGGUCUCACCCUCUGGGAGACUUGAUCCCCAGCUCCAGCCUCUUCCUGGGCCAGCCAGGCAGGGAGGAGGAGGCUGAGAAUGGCAUGAGAGAGGCUCUUCACUGACCGUGUGUGGGAGAGUGGGUGUGAGUGUGAGUGUGCCCACGCACACACUAGUGGCUGGGCAUUGCCGCGGGAGUGGAGCCAUUGAGCAGGGUGAGCUGCGCUGGGUGCCCUGUCCUCCCUGCGGAGCUGCCUGGGGCCCAGGAGGCCACUUCUCAACAGAGAGAAAGCGUGCUGGAGCCUCAGGGGCCCCUGGCCUCGGAGCCCCCGCCCCUGCAGAGCGGCCGCACCCCGUGGGAGGGCAGGGGAGGUCUGCGGGGGCCCUGGCUGGGGCUGGCUGGGCUCCAAGGGACUGUCCCAGGAAGGUGAGAGUCCCUGCCCCUGCUUUGCUUACCGUUUGGCCUUGAGUCGGUAGCUGCUUCUGCUUUCCCGCCUCUUCCUUGUGCCCCCACUGGGCCCUUGCUGCUUGACGGGCCCUCCAUGCACUUUAUUUAUUUGCAGUCUGUUUUUCAGGCAGUGAAGCUUCAACAAAAUCAGAGACACCGACUUGAAUAAGAUGACUUUCACUUUUCUGUGAUUAACUGUGCACCGGUCAGCACAGUCAGAUCAGAGAAAAGUUCUUGUUUCAGGUGUUGUCAAAUCUUAUUGUCUGUCUAAGUUAAGAAGAGUCCUCUGAGUUCAAUAAAAUAAAAUAAACGCUGGAGGCCUCCUGUUUCUGGUUUGGCGCAGCCUUGGAGGAGAGAGGGGCCAGUGGGGAGAGCGGCCCACCCUGGUGGCCAGGAGCUGGGGGAGGGGAGCCCCCUGAGGGCUGUGAGGGGGCGGGGCUGUGACAGGGGACUGGGGCCUGGUCAGAGGAGGCUCUGAGACCGGGCUUGACCUGGACCUCUGCCCCCAUCAGGAGAAGGCGGCAGCACAGGCCUGGCCCAAGAGGUGGCAGGUUGUCCCAGUUUGUUCCAGUCACAGCCUUUAUUUGAAUCACCUAACACCUAAGUCUUUCCUUCAUUUUAGAGCCUGGUGUUAGAAAGCGCUUAAUUCAGUUGAACCCCGAGGUGGGCUGGGGGAGGUGACAUGGAAUGGACUGUCUGCAGAUCAUUUUGUGUCACCCAGAAGCCUGUCUGCAGGAGCAGGUGACAAGGUCCCCAUCCCUCCUUGCCAGCGGGUGGUGCUGAGUUUUGGAGAAGAUGAGCCUUCCCUUCCCUGACCUUAGGCCCAGGCUGUCCAGUCAGAUGCCGGGCCGGGGCUCCGAGGGUGCAGGGGGGAGCUGGGCCGGCACGGGAACGCAGCCCCCACAGCAGAGGAAGGAUGGUGGGGAGGACACAGAGGAGGCAUCCUGAGGACAUGGGGUGUGGUGACACCCUGGGGUACAGCCUAGGGUAAAGGGCCCUGGGGCACUCCUCACCUGUCACCAAGAGCUCCCCAGGGGUCAAAACACCUUGACAAGAGGGCCCCUUCCAACAUCUGCCACCACAGGAAGGAGGGGUGGACCCCACUCCCAGCCAGUGCCCUGAGCUCCCACUUCCAUUGUCCAGAUGGUUCUGUACAGUCCCUGCUGGUCCCAUACCCACUUCAGGGACCAGUAGCCUGGAACAAGCAGAUGGGAAAGGAUGAACCGGCGCCCAAGGGUGAGACACUGAUGAGAGAGGACCGCGUCCUCACUAGGGAGGAAGGCAGGCUGGCUCAUCACUCUCUGGUCCAGAACAGCGCCUGGGAGACCAAAGACCUGCGCCCUGAGCCCAGAUCCUCCGCUGACCAUGGUGGGGCCCCAGGCCAGCCACGGGCACUGGUGCGUUCUCGGGAAGGAGCCUUCAGGGUGGUGUGGGCCUUUAGUGAUGAUGUUUAUUCCACACGUGUCUCAGGUCGCAGCUGGAGCAGCCCUGUCACCAUGAGGAAAGGAAACCAUGUGAAGGGAAGUGACAGGUGAUGAAGCCUUAGGAGCUGCAGGCACCUGCUGGGUGCUUUGCUUCCCUAACUUCAUAAUCCCCACCCACGGCCACCUGUUGGAGGAGGUCACGGAAAGGAUGUCACCACAGGCUGUCCCGCGAGCUGGCCCCGGGCAGUCAGAGGGUCCUCACCCUCCCCUGUUCUUGGGAUACACGGUCCACCCAAUGUUCCCACAGCUGGGGCUGAUUCAAGGAUGCAGCCUUGAGAGAAUGAGAGAGGAUCUGGCCUGAAUAUGUGACUGAAUCCCGGGAAGGUCUCUGUGCAAACUUCUGAGACUCUGGCAGGCUGGCUGCGCUCCAGGCAGCGGAGUCCUGGCGGGGAGGGCGGAAGAGCGGCCGGGAGGGCGGUUCCAGGAGCGCUGGGCCAAUAGCGUCAGAGCGCGAGAAACAGAGGCCGCGAGGAGCCCCGCCCACCCACCCCAGGGGGCACCGCUGAGCUUGGAUGCGGGACCGAUGUCGUUAUGGAUAAACGCUGUGGUGCAGUCACGGUCAGUUUCUUACCCUGUACUCCUGCAGGUGGACCCAAGUGUGUGCAGGCCUUAGGGGUCUGGCA